GAACCGUUCAUGGAUUUAUUUGUUUUUUUUACAUUUUCGAAACAGACCGACCGCACAGCCCGGUCAAAUGUAACUCUUGAACCCCUGAACCGAUCUGGGCGAUUUUUGAAUAUGUCGAUCCCCCAGAUCAGGGCUAUCAGGGGAUAUGACUUGUAUGUGGUUCCCAUUGAGUUUGGAGUACUUUCUAAGUUUUAUGGAAAUUUAUGUUUUUU